rnacentral:rRNA from 1 species
GUUGUAUGGUUAAGUGACUAAGCGUACACGGUGGAUGCCUGGGCAGUCAGAGGCGAUGAAGGACGUACUAACUUGCGAUAAGCGCAGAUAAGGCAGUAAGAGCCGUUUGAGUCUGCGAUUUCCGAAUGGGGAAACCCAACUGCAUAAGCAGUUACUGUUAACUGAAUACAUAGGUUAACAGAGCAAACCGGGGGAACUGAAACAUCUAAGUACCCCGAGGAGAAGAAAUCAACCGAGAUUCCGGUAGUAGCGGCGAGCGAACCUGGAUUAGCCCUUAAGCACUCGGUGAAGUAGGUGAACAAGCUGGAAAGCUUGGCGAUACAGGGUGAUAGCCCCGUAACCGACGCUUCAUCGAGCGUGAAAUCGAGUAGGGCGGGACACGUGAUAUCCUGUCUGAAUAUGGGGGGACCAUCCUCCAAGGCUAAAUACUCCUGACUGACCGAUAGUGAACCAGUACCGUGAGGGAAAGGCGAAAAGAACCCCUGUGAGGGGAGUGAAAUAGAACCUGAAACCGUGUACGUACAAGCAGUAGGAGCACCUUCGUGGUGUGACUGCGUACCUUUUGUAUAAUGGGUCAGCGACUUAUAUUCAGUGGCAAGGUUAACCGUAUAGGGGAGCCGUAGCGAAAGCGAGUCUUAACUGGGCGCUCAGUCUCUGGAUAUAGACCCGAAACCGGGUGAUCUAGCCAUGGGCAGGUUGAAGGUUGAGUAACAUCAACUGGAGGACCGAACCGACUAAUGUUGAAAAAUUAGCGGAUGACUUGUGGCUAGGGGUGAAAGGCCAAUCAAACUCGGAGAUAGCUGGUUCUCCCCGAAAGCUAUUUAGGUAGCGCCUCGGACGAAUACUACUGGGGGUAGAGCACUGUUAAGGCUAGGGGGUCAUCCCGACUUACCAACCCUUUGCAAACUCCGAAUACCAGUAAGUACUAUCCGGGAGACACACGGCGGGUGCUAACGUCCGUCGUGGAGAGGGAAACAACCCAGACCGCCAGCUAAGGUCCCAAAGUAUUGCUAAGUGGGAAACGAUGUGGGAAGGCUCAGACAGCUAGGAUGUUGGCUUAGAAGCAGCCAUCAUUUAAAGAAAGCGUAAUAGCUCACUAGUCGAGUCGGCCUGCGCGGAAGAUGUAACGGGGCUAAGCAAUACACCGAAGCUGCGGCAAUGUCUUUUAGGCAUUGGGUAGGGGAGCGUUCUGUAAGCCGUUGAAGGUGAAUCGUAAGGUUUGCUGGAGGUAUCAGAAGUGCGAAUGCUGACAUGAGUAACGACAAAGGGGGUGAAAAACCUCCUCGCCGGAAGACCAAGGGUUCCUGUCCAACGUUAAUCGGGGCAGGGUGAGUCGACCCCUAAGGUGAGGCCGAAAGGCGUAAUCGAUGGGAAACGGGUUAAUAUUCCCGUACUUCUGACUAUUGCGAUGGGGGGACGGAGAAGGCUAGGUGGGCCAGGCGACGGUUGUCCUGGUUCAAGUGCGUAGGCUUGAGAGUUAGGUAAAUCCGGCUCUCUCUAAGGCUGAGACACGACGUCGAGCUGCUACGGUAGUGAAGUCAUUGAUGCCAUGCUUCCAGGAAAAGCCUCUAAGCUUCAGAUAGUCAGGAAUCGUACCCCAAACCGACACAGGUGGUCGGGUAGAGAAUACCAAGGCGCUUGAGAGAACUCGGGUGAAGGAACUAGGCAAAAUGGUACCGUAACUUCGGGAGAAGGUACGCUCUUGAUGGUGAAGUCCCUCGCGGAUGGAGCUGACGAGAGUCGCAGAUACCAGGUGGCUGCAACUGUUUAUUAAAAACACAAGCACUGUGCAAAAUCGCAAGAUGACGUAUACGGUGUGACGCCUGCCCGGUGCCGGAAGGUUAAUUGAUGGGGUUAGCGCAAGCGAAGCUCUUGAUCGAAGCCCCGGUAAACGGCGGCCGUAACUAUAACGGUCCUAAGGUAGCGAAAUUCCUUGUCGGGUAAGUUCCGACCUGCACGAAUGGCGUAAUGAUGGCCACGCUGUCUCCACCCGAGACUCAGUGAAAUUGAAAUCGCUGUGAAGAUGCAGUGUACCCGCGGCUAGACGGAAAGACCCCGUGAACCUUUACUACAGCUUGGCACUGAACAUUGAACCUACAUGUGUAGGAUAGGUGGGAGGCUAUGAAGACGUGACGC